rnacentral:pre_miRNA from 1 species
UAAAUACUCCCUCCGUCCGAAAAUACUUGUCAUCAAAAUGGAUAAAAAGAGAUGUAUCUAAAACUAAAAUACGUCUAGAUACAUUUCCUUUUAUCCAUUUUGAUGACAAGUAUUUCCGGACGAAGGGAGUAUUUG